UACAGAGGUCUCGAGCGUUAGGCGGAAUCACUGGGCUUAAAGCGUGUGUAGGUGGAUCGUUAAGUACCUUGUGAAAUCCCACGGCUUAACCGUGGAACUGCUUGGUAUACUGGCGGUCUUGAGCCAGCUAGGGGCUACCGGAACAAAUGGUGGAGCGGUGAAAUGCGUAGAUAUCAUUUGGAACGCCAAUGGUGAAAACAGGUAGCUGGGAGUGUGCCGACGCUGAGACACGAAAGCCAGGGGAGCGAACGGG
rnacentral:rRNA from 1 species